GGAGAGGUACCCAAGUGGUUGACGGGGCCGCUCUCGAAAAGCGGUAGGGCCGCAAGGCCCUCGUGGGUUCGAAUCCCACCCUCUCCG
rnacentral:tRNA from 1 species